rnacentral:lncRNA from 1 species
CAGGCAGGGAGCGGGCCGCCUCGCCUCGCCUCGCCUCGCCUCGCCUCGCCGGCCGCCGCCGCCGCCUCCCGCCCGGGCCGCAGCUCCGGCCGAGGCGGCUCGGGGGCGGCGCCGGCGGGCGGGCGCUCCGGGGGCGGUUUCCUCGGCCCCGGCGGCCUCGCCUCGCGCGGCGUCCGCGGAGGAAGCGCGGCGGCCCGAGGGCCCGGGCGACCCCGGCUGCGACCGAGACGGCGGCCUCCUUCCCCGGCGGCGCUGGCCCGCUCCUCGGGCGGCUCCUCCUCCUUUGUCUGGGUUCGCCCCCCGGCGCGGGGCACUGCUGACCUCGCCCCCGCCCCGACUCCCGCUACGGCGGCGGCAGCUCGUCUCCUCAGCGCCUCAUCCCCGCCCUCCCGACAGGCAGCGCCGCCCGGCCCGCCCGAGUCACCUCCAGAGGGCCCUGGGGACCGAGCGGGCGUGCGCUUCGGGCGGGCGAGCCCCACUCCCGCGCACAGCGCUGGCGGCCGCCGUCGGCCCUGCGGCAGCCGCGCACCGCGCCCGGGGGCAGCCGCCGAGCUCCGGGCUCCGGCAGUCGCCGCUCGGCCCGCCCCCUGGGCCCGGCGCUCAUUAUCCCGGGUCGCCGGAGAAGCCCCGCACGGAGCAUGCGCGCCGCGGAGCGGGCUGAGGCGCCGGCCGGUCGCGGGGUGGCGGGGUGGCGGGGCGGCGGGGGCUCCGGGGCCGGCCGGCGGGGCGGGGGGGGGUCGGCCCGUGCCGGGGCCCGCCGGGGGCCCUUCUCACAGACCACCCCACUCCACUGCGUUUUACACCCACGCUCCCCUCUCUCGACCUUCCCGAGACGGGCCUGAUUCGAUGCCACUCUCGGAGCCCCGGUAUCGCGGUCACGGGAAGAAGUUGAGGAUGGAGAGACCGCGUUCGGGCCGUGUGCUCUACAGGGCUGUCGUGUGUCUAGGAGAUGGUGAACUGUCUCGUCGAGUGAGGUCUCGGGGAUUGAAGGCGGUGAGACGUGGGAUCAGCAACCGGCAACGAGGAAGGGAAAGGCAGAGCAGGGUUGGGGCCGGGGGGCGGGGAGUCUGUGCUACACUUCACUUCCACGGUUGGUAA